rfam:Sorex araneus cont1.268036, whole genome shotgun sequence.
CGCGGGUCCUAGCCUGUAGCCCCCAAUCGGAUAAUCUCUGCAGCUGAUAACAAGCAGAAGCGAAGCCAGGCAACAGCCAUAUUAGAAAAGAAUACUGUCAACUCUGAGG